CAAAGCAAGAAGGAGCGCCCGCUUCUCACCUGAUCGACGCACAGCGCAGUUGACAGGUCUACAUGUAAUAAUGUCUCAUGAUGACAAACAUGAGUGUGGGCGUCGUAUGCCCACACUCUUUUGUGUUG
rfam:Bacillus halodurans C-125 DNA, complete genome.